rnacentral:rRNA from 2 species
GACGAACGCUGGCGGCGUGCCUAAUACAUGCAAGUCGAACGCACUCUCGUUUAGAUUGAAGGAGCUUGCUCCUGAUUGAUAAACAUUUGAGUGAGUGGCGGACGGGUGAGUAACACGUGGGUAACCUGCCCUAAAGUGGGGGAUAACAUUUGGAAACAGAUGCUAAUACCGCAUAAAACCUAACACCGCAUGGUGUAGGGUUGAAAGAUGGUUUCGGCUAUCACUUUAGGAUGGACCCGCGGUGCAUUAGUUAGUUGGUGAGGUAAAGGCUCACCAAGACCGUGAUGCAUAGCCGACCUGAGAGGGUAAUCGGCCACACUGGGACUGAGACACGGCCCAGACUCCUACGGGAGGCAGCAGUAGGGAAUCUUCCACAAUGGACGAAAGUCUGAUGGAGCAACGCCGCGUGAGUGAAGAAGGUUUUCGGAUCGUAAAACUCUGUUGUCGGAGAAGAAUGUAUCUGAUAGUAACUGAUCAGGUAGUGACGGUAUCCAACCAGAAAGCCACGGCUAACUACGUG